CCUACGGGAGACAGCAGUGAGGAAUAUUGGUCAAUGGACGAGAGUCUGAACCAGCCAAGUAGCGUGAAGGAUGACUGCCCUAUGGGUUGUAAACUUCUUUUAUAAAGGAAUAAAACGAGGCACGUGUGCCUUUUUGCAUGUACUUUAUGAAUAAGGAUCGGCUAACUCCGUGCCAGCAGCCGCGGUAAUACGGAGGAUCCGAGCGUUAUCCGGAUUUAUUGGGUUUAAAGGGAGCGUAGAUGGGUUGUUAAGUCAGUUGUGAAAGUUUGCGGCUCAACCGUAAAAUUGCAAUUGAUACUGGCAGUCGUGAGGACAGUUGAGGUAGGCGGAAUUCGUGGUGUAGCGGUGAAAUGCUUAGAUAUCACGAAGAACCCCGAUUGCGAAGGCAGCUUACUAAACUGUGACUGACAUUGAUGCUCGAAAGUGUGGGUAUCAAACAGGAUUAGAUACCCUGGUAGUC
rnacentral:rRNA from 1 species